ACGUCGGUGGCUCAAUUGGUAGAGCAGCGGUCUCCAAAACCGCAGGUUGGGGGUUCGAGUCCCUCCCGACGUG
rnacentral:tRNA from 1 species